rnacentral:rRNA from 1 species
UGAGUAACCUGCCCUUCACUCUGGGAUAACUCCGGGAAACCGGGGCUAAUACUGGAUAUGACUCGAACAGGCAUCUGUUUCGGGUGGAAAGAUUUAUUGGUGGAGGAUGGACUCGCGGCCUAUCAGCUUGUUGGUGAGGUAAUGGCUCACCAAGGCGACGACGGGUAGCCGGCCUGAGAGGGCGAUCGGCCACACUGGGACUGAGACACGGCCCAGACUCCUACGGGAGCA